UGGUGUAGGUGUCAUUGGCCUUGAGUCCCAGUUUGCAGGUGAAAGCAAAGCAGCAUCAGAUAGUCUCUCACUUGCAGGUGGUUGUAAGUCCUCUAGAGUUCUUGGUGCAUACGCACAAAGAUUUAAACCCAAAGCUAAUUUUGCUUUUCUCCAUUUGCUUCCCAUUUUGAUUGAACUUGAACCACAACUUGAAAUCUUCCAAAGAUUCAAGAACCAGAGCAAGAAUCCAAGAAGUAGAAUUUAACAACUCAAAGAAACCAAAAGCAAGAACGAACAAAAACAGACAGAUCUCAAAGUGCUUUGAGCCAAGCUGCUUUCUUUGUUUUCUGUUUUCUUCUAUCUUGGAAGGGGAGAGACAAUGGGUUUUUAACAAAAGAUGAAAUUGAACACGAAAACCGAGAGAGAGAGAGAGAGAGACAGAGAGAG
rnacentral:misc_RNA from 1 species